CAGAGGUCUCGAGCGUUAGUCGGAUUCAUUGGGCUUAAAGCGUACGUAGGCGGAUAUGCAGGCGUCGUGUGAAGCCCUCGGCUCAACCGAGGAAUUGCACGGCGAACCGCAUGUCUUGAGAUCGGUAGGGCGGUCGGAACGAUAGGUGGAGUGGUGAAAUGCGUUGAUACCUAUCGGAACGCCGAAGGUGAAACAGGCCGCUGGGCCGAUUCUGACGCUGAGGUACGAAAGCGUGGGAGCAAACGGGAUU
rnacentral:rRNA from 1 species